rnacentral:rRNA from 1 species
CACGUAGGCACCAAGCGUUGUCCGGAUUUAUUGGGCGUAAAGAGCGUGUAGGCGGCUGGGUAGGUCCGUUGUGAAAACUCGAGGCUCAACCUCGAGACGCCGAUGGAAACCCCCCGGCUAGAGUCCGGAAGAGGAGAGUGGAAUUCCUGGUGUAGCGGUGAAAUGCGCAGAUAUCAGGAAGAACACCCGUGGCUAAGGCGGCUCUCUAGUACGGUACUGACGCUGAGACGCGAAAGCGUGGGGAGCGAACAGG